GAAAAGCCCACCAAUUGUAGUUUAUUUGGAGUCCAGCCAAGUACCAUUUGUGUUGAAAAGACCUAUUUUUCCCUAAUUGGCAGUGAAACAUCAUUAAAUAUAUGUACUCAUAUACACACACACAAUAUGGCAUGUACACUUGACACACGUCCAUGCAUGGGCACUGAGAGAGCCUGGGCAAGUCAGUUAAGACCCUUAUCUGAAGGACAUACCCUUGGUGCCAUUUGGGAGAACAAACUCCUGUUACUAGCAUUGCAACAAAAACAGGUGGCAAGCUUUAAAGAUAAACUCAAGACAGCGAGUGAAACUUCAGCAAAUACGUGUUAAUACGACCAUGAGUAAAAGGCCCUUCCUGGCCGGGCGCAGUGGCUCACGCCUGUAAUUUCAGCACUUUGGGAGGCGGAGGCGGGAGGAUCACCUGAGGUCAGGAGUUCGAGACCAGCCUGGCCAACAUGGUGAAACCCCGUCUCCACUAAAAAUACAAAAAUUAGUUGGGCGUGGUGGCAGGCGCCUGUAAGCCCACCUCUUUGGGAGGCUGAGCCAUGAGAAUCGCCUGAACCCAGGAGGUGGAGGUUGCAGUGAGCCUAGAUUGUGCCAUUGCACUCCAGCCUGGGUGUCAAGAGUGAAACUCCACCUCAAAAAAAAAAAAAAAAAAAAAGACCCUUCCUAAGAACAGCACUGUAACUCAUGAGUUAUUACUCAAAUGCAUCUGUCCAUCUACCCACCAACUCAGGUCCUCUCCAUACACUCCUGUAAGUCACCGGGCUACCGGGAGACUGCAUGGGAACAACCACGCUCGCGCAGCCUGUCCCGCAGCCAUCGCUCCUCCCACAGCUCCUGGCUGCCCACGGCGCUUCCCUGUAGCAAACCCAGCUGCUGACGUCAUAAAAGGCACACAGCCGGACCUGUCUGUGCUCAUCUAGUUCCAUUUACAACAGACUCAUCCACAAAACCGAAGUGGUAGAAACAGGUCUUUUUGAAGCCAGGCGUGGUGGCUCAUGCCUGUAAUCCCAACACUUUGGGAAGCUUAGGCAGGAGUAUCGCUUGAGCCCAGGAGUUCGAGAACAGCCUGGCCAACAUGGUGAAACUCUGUCUCUACAAAAAAAACUUUAAAAAGUAGCUGGGGGUGGUGGUGUGUGCCUGUGUGGUCCCAGUUACUCGGGAGGCUGAGGUGAGCGGAUCACUUGAGCCCAGGAAGUUGAGCCACAAUGGCACCACGGCACUCCAGCCUGGGUGACAGGGCGAGAUCCUGUCUGAAAAGAAAAAAAAAAAGAAAAGAGAAGAAAAGAAAAGAAAACAGGUCUUCCUGGGAGCACCUAGACAAAGGCCUUUGUAAAGAUAAAUUACCGAGGAAUAUUUCUAGUUGCCUGUUUUCUUCAAAAUCACAGUCAAGUAAGCUGGGCGUGGUGGCUCACCUCUGUAAUCCCAGCAUUUUGGGAGGCCGAGGUGGGCAGAUCACCUGAGGUCAGGAGUUUGAGACCAGCCUGCCCAACAUGGUCAAAACCCCAUCUCUACUAAAAAUACAAAAAUUAGCCAGGUGUGGUGGCACACGCCUGUAAUCCCAGCUACUUGGGAGCCUGAGGUGGGAGAAAUACUACCCAGGAGGCAGAGGUUGCAGUGAGCCAAGAUUGUGCCAGUGCACUCCAGCCUGGGCGACAGAGCAAAACUCUGUCUCGGGAAAAAAAAAAAAAAUCGCAGUCAAGUAAAAAGAAACGCAACUAAAAGAGCCGUCAGUUAAAUACAUUCCUCUCUCGUGGCAGGACGAGUCUAUAAGAUUUGUUUUGUUUUUAAUUUAGUGUAAAGUUUUUUUAAUGUUUAAACCUUGUGACACAUCAAAUUACAUGCUUGAAGCUGUUACUUUCUGUCAAAAAAGUGAGUUUUUAAUAUGAAAAUUCUGCUUAGGUUAAAAAUUAAAAAAAAAAGAGCGAGUUUUAUACAUCCGCAUGAAUU
rnacentral:lncRNA from 1 species